GUGAGGAAUAUUGGACAAUGGAUGGAAAUCUGAUCCAGCCAUGCCGCGUGCAGGAAGACGGCCCUAUGGGUUGUAAACUGCUUUUGUAUGGGAGCAAUAAGGGCUACGUGUAGCCUGAUGAGAGUACCAUACGAAUAAGGACCGGCUAACUCCGUGCCAGCAGCCGCGGUAAUACGGAGGGUCCGAGCGUUAUCCGGAUUUAUUGGGUUUAAAGGGUGCGUAGGCGGUUUUAUAAGUCAGCGGUGAAAUUUUCCGGCUCAACCGGGAUACUGCCGUUGAUACUGUAAGGCUAGGAUAUGGUUGCUGUGGGUGGAAUGUGUGGUGUAGCGGUGAAAUGCUUAGAGAUCACACAGAAUAUCGAUUGCGAAGGCAGCUCACAAAGCCAUUAUUGACGCUGAGGCACGAAAGUGUGGGGAUCAAACAGGAUUAGAAACCCCUGUAGUCC
rnacentral:rRNA from 1 species